CCAACCUGCGGCACGAAAGCGAUAAGGAGACACUGAAACUGACCAGCUGCUUGCUGCCCAGUGCCCACUCGCCGGAGAACCAUGGCCACGGCGGCGGCGUGUGUGCGGGUGGCUUCUCCGUUCACGGGCGCACCUCUCCGGCAUCCCUCCCACGUCAUCUCAGCGAGGCGGGGACCCAGGAGGGCCGGGCUAGCCGUCACGGCGACGGCCGCGACCGGCGGUGGGUCGCCGCGCACUGUGCUCGUCACCGGCGCCGGCGGCCGAACAGGCCAAAUUGUGUACAAGAAGUUGAAGGAGAGGGCAGGCGAGUUCGUGGGACGAGGCCUAGUCACGACGGAAGAGAGCAAGGGAAAAAUCGGAGGCGGUGACGACGUGUUCGUCGGGGACAUAAGAGACCCCGAGAGCAUUGCUCCUGCGAUUGAGGGCAUCGACGCGCUCAUCAUCCUCACCAGCGCGGUCCCGAAGAUGAAGCCAGGGUUUGAUCCGAGCAAAGGGGAGCGCCCUGAGUUUUACUUUGAAGAAGGGAGCUAUCCUGAGCAGGUGGAUUGGAUUGGACAAAAGAAUCAAAUAGAUGCUGCUAAGAGCAUCGGUGCAAAACACAUAGUUUUGGUGGGAUCCAUGGGAGGAACAGACACCAAUCACCCACUAAACAAGUUAGGAAAUGCGAAUAUACUGGUGUGGAAGCGCAAGGCAGAACAGUACCUAGCGGACUCUGGUCUUCCAUAUACAAUUAUAAGAGCUGGUGGUUUACAAGAUAAAGAUGGUGGCUUGCGAGAGUUGAUUGUUGGGAAGGAUGAUGAGAUCCUGAAAACAGAAACAAGAACUAUUGCCAGGGCUGAUGUCGCAGAAGUUUGCAUACAGGCCUUGCUAUUCGAAGAGGCAAAAUUUAAGGCAUUUGAUCUGGCAUCAAAACCAGAAGGUGAAGGGACGCCAACUACAGACUUUAGGGCAAUUUUUGCACAAGUUGAUAGUCACUUCUAAAAGAUAAGAUUGUCAUUGCCAAGAAAGUGAGGGCAUUCUUUUAUAAAGCGCUAUGAAAUGUGUAUUGAGGAAGGAACCUUGUGUUGAUCAAUACCACCUCCAUCUUCUGACCAGAGAUGGCAUUUGCUCUGAACAUUGAUGCCGUCAAUUUUGGGAGCUGCCAGCGGCUGCCUUCAUCAGCAACAAAAGCCCAUGAUAAACCCCUUUCUUUGUAUCUGCCUAUCUGGUACUAAAUUCAAGAUGACUGGAUUGACAUAAAGCUGCUCGCUUUGAGAAAUUUUACUUGCUACUACUUAAGCAAAAGCCAAUGUCUUAUACAAUCGUUUCAAUAUCAGUUCAGCCAACAAACUAAGCAA